rnacentral:rRNA from 1 species
GAUGAACGCUGGCGGCGUGCCUAAUACAUGCAAGUCGAGCGAACAGACGAGGAACUUGCUCCUCUGACGUUAGCGGCGGACAGGUGAGUAACACGUGGAUAACCUACCUAUAAGACUGGGAUAACUUCGGGAAACCGGAGCUAAUACCGGAUAAUAUAUUGAACCGCAUGGUUCAAUAGUGAAAGACGGUUUUGCUGUCACUUAUAGAUGGAUCCGCGCCGCAUUAGCUAGUUGGUAAGGUAACGGCUUACCAAGGCAACGAUGCGUAGCCGACCUGAGAGGGUGAUCGGCCACACUGGAACUGAGACACGGUCCAGACUCCUACGGGAGGCAGCAGUAGGGAAUCUUCCGCAAUGGGCGAAAGCCUGACGGAGCAACGCCGCGUGAGUGAUGAAGGUCUUCGGAUCGUAAAACUCUGUUAUUAGGGAAGAACAAAUGUGUAAGUAACUAUGCACGUCUUGACGGUACCUAAUCAGAAAGCCACGGCUAACUACGUG